rnacentral:rRNA from 1 species
UACGAAGGGGGGCUAGCGUUGCUCGGAAUCACUGGGCGUAAAGCGCACGUAGGCGGAUCUUUUAAGUCAGGGGGUGAAAUCCCAAGGCUCAACCUUGGAACUGCCUUUGAUACUGGGUAUCUCGAGUAUGGAAGAGGUGAGUGGAAUUCCGAGUGUAGAGGUGAAAUUCGUAGAUAUUCGGAGGAACACCAGUGGCGAAGGCGGCUCACUGGUCCAUUCUGACGCUGAGGUGCGAAAGCGUGGGGAGCAAACAGG